rnacentral:rRNA from 1 species
ACUCCUACGGGUAGGCAGCAGUCGGGGAAUAUUGCACAAUGGGCGCAAGCCUGAUGCAGCCAUGCCGCGGUGUAUGAAGAAGGCCUUCGGGUUGUAAAGUACUUUCAGCAGUGAGGAAGGCGGGUACGUUAAUAGCGUGCUCCGUUUGACGUUAGCUGCAGAAGAAGCAACCGGCUAACUCCGUGCCAGCAGCCGCGGUAAUACGGAGGGUGCGAGCGUUAAUCGGAAUUACUGGGCGUAAAGCGCAUGCAGGUGGUUUGUUAAGUCAGAUGUG